GACAGAGGGUGCAAACGUUGUUCGGAAUUACUGGGCGUAAAGCGCGCGUAGGCGGAUCUGCAAGUCGGGGGGUGAAAUCCCGAGGCUCAACCUCGGAACUGCCUUCGAUACUGCGGGUCUCGAGUCCGGGAGAGGUGAGUGGAAUUCCUAGUGUAGAGGUGAAAUUCGUAGAUAUUAGGAAGAACACCAGUGGCGAAGGCGCUCACUGGCCCGGUACUGACGCUGAGGCGCGAAAGCGUGGGGAGCAAACAGG
rnacentral:rRNA from 1 species